AUCCAAUCUUUCUAUUUUAGGGUUCCCGAUCCCCAAUUCCUCCGCGGGUUCCUGGGAUCAGGCUCCGGUCUCGCCUCCUUUUAUCAAGCAGCGGCUGCGGGUUCUUCUAGGAUCGAUCUAGAUGCUGGCCCCGGUCGCUCCCGUGGCGCCGCUGAGGAUCGUGAUAUGUUUUCUUGAUCUUCUCUGUUCGGCUGCUCCGCAUCUUCAUUACUAUGCCGGAGGCUGAGUGUGAUAAGAUCCUGGAAUUCCUAGGAAUCUCUCUUAUCUCCGCAUCCUCAUAGAUAACUUUGGCCACAUAUGCCAGGGAUUUACAAACCAAAUUUAUACCAGGAUAUAAAUUUUCUGGGUACCAUAUAUUUGUCACAAUAGCUGGAGCUCUUUUCCGGGUCAUAAAGGGUGUUAUUCUUGUGGUUCUCUUUUCAACAUCAGGCGCUUCAUUGUGGUAUUUUCUCUCCAAGUUGAUCCACAGGCCUUUGGUAAGUUGGAUAUGGCUGGAAAAGUUGAGAUUUUUCCAAGCAGAGAUUAGCGGAACGCUGGGAUAAGCUGCUUAACUGCAUGCUCAUUUUGAGGAGGUAACAGAGGGGAGGAGGAAAAAAAAAAUCUGUGAUAACUUAAACACCAUCGUCGCUAAUUGUCAAUUUCUGUGACAAGACCUGGAUUAUUAACCCCCUUGUGGUUCCCUCCAGGCUCUUCGUCAAUUUCCACAGCGAAUCGUAGGCUUUCGCAUUAAUCUCAACCCCCAAGAUGUGGUAAUCUUGUGCAUUUAAUUCUUCGUCCUAUUGUUAUUAUUAUUAUUUUUUAUUUUUGUUGAUAAAAUUUCUGUUAGAAACUCACU